rnacentral:rRNA from 1 species
GACGGGGGGACCCCAAGUGCCACUCUUAACGGGGUGGCUUUUCUUGAGUGUAAAAAGCUUUUGGAAUAAGGGCUGAGCAAGACCGGUGCCAGCCGCCGCGGUAACACCGGCAGCUCAAGUGGUAGCCAUUUUUAUUGGGCCUAAAGCGUUCGUAGCCGGUUUGAUAAGUCUCUGGUGAAAUCCUAUGGCUUAACUGUGGGAAUUGCUGGAGAUACUAUUAGACUUGAGGUCGGGAGAGGUUAGCGGUACUCCCAGGGUAGGGGUGAAAUCCUGUAAUCCUGGGAGGACCACCUGUGGCGAAGGCGGCUAACUGGAACGAACCUGACGGUGAGGGACGAAAGCCAGGGGCGCGAACCGGAUUAGAUACCCGGGUAGU